CCAAUAGCGUAUAUUAAAGUUGUUGCAGUUAAAAAGCUCGUAGUUGAAUUUCGGGGUUAGUAGGUUGGUCAUGCCUCUGGUAUGUACUGGUCUCACUGAUUCCUCCUUCCUGAUGAACCGUAAUGCCAUUAAUUUGGUGUUGCGGGGAAUUUGGACUGUUACUUUGAAAAAAUUAGAGUGUUUAAAGCAGGCUAACGCUU
rnacentral:rRNA from 1 species